UGCUGACUUCACAGGAAGAGUUACCAGAGACAUGAAUGUCACUGCCAAGGACACCUGCAAUCCUAUACACUCAGACUCCUCACUCAGUCUCUCGAGAGCCCUGAUCAGAGCCUCCAUUGACUCUGCUAAGAUGACAAAGUCAAGAUCAGUAAAUCUUUCUUCACCAAUGGACGCCCCACAGCUGUUGGAUCCCAUGACCCUGCCCAGCACCCAGUCCAUACAAGCAUUAUACAGAGUAGGAGCAAGAACAUACCCCUAGUGAACCCCAGAAUCAAAUGGAAAGAAUGCAGAGGUUCUCCCUCCACUCUGCACAGCACUCACAGUACCAGUGUAUAGACCGGCCAUGAUGUCCAGCAACUUCGAGGGGAUCCUGCGAAGUCUCAGGAUGUCUCGCAGGGCAUCAACUGAGUGGAAUACUUUUCAAAAAUUGACAAAAGCUGCAAAGAACCUCUGCCAAUAUUCGCACUUGCGCUCAAUGAAAACCCUCAGUGCAAGAUUACGGUCGAUGGUAGACUUCUUAGGCGUAAAACCAGACUGCUCUGGUUGCUGACAGAUAAGCAAGUGAUCACAGAUCCUGUUAAGGAUGACCUUAACACUGAAAGCAGUGUUAUCCCCCUGUAGUUGCUGCAGUCCAAGCGAUCACCCUUCCCUUUCCAGAUAGGGACUACAAGUCCCAUUUUCCAGUCAAUUGGGAUGGUGACUGACUCCAAAAUGGAAUCAAAGAUUGCCUGCAAUGCCAUGAGGACAGCCGUACCACCAGCCUGGAGAAGUUCACCCUGGAUACCACAGAUCCCUGUCGCCUUCGCUAUCCUCAGCUGAUUCACCACCUGUGCAAUCUCAGUGAGAUUAUGUGGUUCACAACUGAUUGAAGGGUCAGCUUUGAGAACCGUGGUCCCAGAGAUGUCCAACAUACAAGCUAGAGGGCCAGCUUUAACUCUUUCACUGUCGCCGCCUAGUGGUUCGGACGCAUACGUCCAAAUUUUAAAUAACAAAAAAAAAUGACGUUCAAUAAAAGAAACAAAUGUAUCAAAUCAACCAAAAACGGCUUGUUACACUACAAAAAACCUUUCAGAUAAUAUCUGUAUAAAGUUGCGCAAUUUUUGUGCCAUGGUUUUUUUGUAACAAGUAAAAAUAAAAUGACCAUGGUAGCCAUCUUUAAACGGGUCGAGUGUCAGGAAGUAAAAUAUAAGUGUUAAUAAAAUGAAAACUAAGCACUUCAAACUAUUUCUUUCAUGGCCAAUACUUCAUAAAUAGUCACAGUAUUAAGACAAAACACGCAUUUUUCCAUAAAUAUGACUGUAAUGUUCUCAAAUAGCUUGCUCACUCAUCGCGGAAAAAUGUCAGUCGGCAUUCUGUACAUUCGUGCAAUGUUUUUUAUCUUCGGAGUUUUAGAAGAAAACGAAUGAAUAAAAUGACAAAGUUACCCUCGUUUGAAAGCUUGAUCUCUUAUGUACAUAAAUCAAUCACUGUAAUCCUUCAUUGUCAAGUAUUUUUUCAGAUAUAUGCUCUGCUUCCCUGCUAGCACAUUAUUUUUUACGCACUGAACCUUUGCCCAUGGUUAUGUUUCACCAUAAUAAACUUUUUACAUGAACAUCAAA